rnacentral:snRNA from 1 species
GAGGAGAGAGAAGAGAGAAC